CACACUAACUCGUGUUGCCUCAUGAACAUUUCCACUUAUUCUCAUCAGCUCCUUCCGCCUUCCAUCCUCGUGGAGUUUGUGGUGGCUGCCACUGACUGUGCUGCUGCAGAAGUUGUAGACUCGGCCAAGUGCAACCUGCUGGCAGACAAGGUAUAUGGCUUCUGUAAGGCGACUGUCACUGAGAAGGUUGGUGGGGAAGAUGUUGUAGUGACCUGCACGGUGUUCC